UACGAAGGGGGCUAGCGUUGCUCGGAAUCACUGGGCGUAAAGCGCACGUAGGCGGCUUUUUAAGUCAGGGGUGAAAUCCUGGAGCUCAACUCCAGAACUGCCUUUGAUACUGAGAAGCUUGAGUCCGGGAGAGGUGAGUGGAACUGCGAGUGUAGAGGUGAAAUUCGUAGAUAUUCGCAAGAACACCAGUGGCGAAGGCGGCUCACUGGCCCGGUACUGACGCUGAGGUGCGAAAGCGUGGGGAGCUAACAGG
rnacentral:rRNA from 1 species